AGGAUAAUAGUUAAAAUAUAACAUUUAAUUUGCAUUUAAAAAUCGUUGAAUUCAACUUAUCUU
rnacentral:tRNA from 1 species